CAGAGGGCUGGUGGCUUGCAUAUUGUCAGAGGUGCCACUCUGGAAGAAGGAAGGAAGAGAGACUCAGAGCCCAAGGCAUGAGAAGCCUUCCUACCUGGGUUUAAAAGUCUGGUUUUCAGCAGGAAAGAGGCGUGAUCAGAUUUUGGAAGGACAGGAGAGGUCUGAGGGAAUUAUAAUUACAAUAUGCCAGUAACCAGUAUCUUCAGAUGCCAGUAUCACAUGUGGGUCUCUAGAGGAAAGAAGAGAUGUUUGUGCUUUGGUGGAAAGUGAAAACAAAGAUUUGAAGAAUUUUCAACAACCGAGAAGAAUGCAAAGGGAAAAUAAAGCCCCGCUUAAUCAGAACCACCCCUGGGCAGAGGAGGAAAGCCUUGGGCUGCUUUGAGCACAGAGAUGGUUAGAAGGGUGACAGCUGCAGUUGGUGGCUGAGGAAUUCCUGGCUUUUUUCAUUCUACAUCACUGUUCCUGGAAAUCUUUUUUUCAGAACCAGGGUACACAACAUGUGAUUGUCUUACUGUGAGUAAAUUAUUUUACUAAACGGGAGAAUACGGUUUCAAAACAGGACAUCAAUCCAUUUGGGGUUGGGCUGCCCCCAAAUUGACUCACUGAGGUUGAAAAUCACCACUAGUUAGUGUCCAUUGACUAGUUAGUGUUCAUUAAGACAACAUAACUUUAUGACUGUGUUAGCAAACAGGAGGAGCUGCUGAAUCGUCACGUUAAGGAACAGGAAUGCCAUCAGACUAAGACUCUUCUGCACAUUGCUCCAUCUCUUUGUUUUUACUGAUUCCACCCACUAAACAGCCCAGAGUCCAGAUUUAUUUCAUUGAUAUUCUGUCUAGGGAUUUAGUCUGAAAUCAUUGGUUCAAGUGCUACUGAGUUGAAACUAAUUUAUUUUUGUUCUAAAUAAAAUAAACUCACUUAAAAGUACCUAAGUGGUGAACACACAGCCUCCCCAGGGACAAAGGGUGAGGUUUGCUUUGUUACUCAGAGGAGCCAAGGAGGGGGACGGCAGGGUGGGAGCGCCUGAACCCACCUGUCAUGGUGAAUCCACCCACCAGCAGCCCGAUGUCUCGGCCGCCCACGAUGAUGGCUUCGCUGCGCUCCUCCGCGCUGCCACUGUUUUUGGUUCUCCAGGCAGC